CAAUAGCGUAUAUUUAAGUUGUUGCAGUUAAAAAGCUCGUAGUUGGAUUUCGGUUGAGAACGGCCGGUCCGCCGUUUGGUGUGCACUGGCUGGUUUCAACUUCCUGUAGAGGACGUACUCUGGGUUAACGCUCGGAUACGGAGUCUACGUGGUUACUUUGAAAAUUAGAGUGUUCAAAGCGGGCUUACGCUUGAAUAUUUCAGCAUGGAAUAACACUAUAGGACUCCUGUCCUAUUUCGUUGGUCUCGGGACGGGAGUAAUGAUUAAGAGGAACAGUUGGGGCGAUUCGUAUUUCUAUUGUCAGAGGUGGAAAUUACUUGGAUUUAUUGAAAGAACGAACUUCUGCGAAAGACAUUUGUCCAACGGAUGUUUUCUAUUAAUUCAAGAACGAAAGUUAGGGGCGUCGAAGACGAUCAGAUACCAU
rnacentral:rRNA from 1 species